CAAACUCAGGCUCCAUACAAGCUAUGUAAGUGAUCUACCACUGAGCUACAACCCCCAGCCUGACCCAGAUGCCUUACUCAGUUCAAUGUCGACAACUCUAUUGCUAGAAUCUGCAAGUUGAUGCCUUUCCAGCCAAAGGAUAAUUCAGGGCAUUUGUAAGAGGGAAGAAUCUCUUUACCACUGUCCCCAGCCUCCUAACGGGUGUGAAGAUCAAUCAUUACCUCAGCCAAAUUUGCAUUUAACACAACAUAACACCAGUGUGGACGGCUGUCACUCAGUUUAACUUUCUGACAUAAUCUCUAUAUCUGAGAAACACUGCUUCAAGUCCAGAAGGCAAAGAAGCCCAGAAUGCAAAAGACUGGAUUCUCCUGACCUGGAGACCACAUAGGCAGCAGUUCCUGGGAGGAACUCUCAGCUGCACCGGAAGGAAGACACCACACCAGACGCUUCUUUCUGUGGGGCGCCUUGG
rnacentral:lncRNA from 1 species